UGGAAAUUCCUCUACGCACAGUGAGUACACUACCUUAGUAAUAUCCGGCUCGAAGGACCAGUGUUAAGGGAACUUUGCUAGUUCGCGCCUAAUUUAGAGGGCCUCGUCCGGAGAUACACAAAGAAAUCAUAGCGGCUAUGGUAGUUCCUCUACGCACAGUGAGUACACUACCUUAGUAAUAUCCGGCUCGAAGGACCAGUGUUAAGGGAACUUGCUAGUUCGCGCCUAAUGUAGAGGGCCUCGUCCAGAGAUACACAAAGAAAUCAUAGCGGCUAUGGUAGUUCCUCUACGCACAGUGAGUAGACUACCUUAGUAAUAUCCGGCUCGAAGGACCAGUGUCAAGGGAACUUUGCUAGUUCGCGCCUAAUAUAGAGGGUCUCGUCCGGAGAUACACAAAGAAAUCAUAGCGGCUAUGGUAGUUCCUCUAUGCUCAGUGAGUAGACUAUAUUCUCUGCUUGUGUUGUCUAUGCCGACCAUAGACAACGACGACUUUGUCGCAGCACUUACACCACCUAGCGGCUGUCGUGCCGCAACCGCUGUGGGAAUUCCUCUACGCACACUUCGGCGGCGGGCCGGCAUUGUCUCACGCACACGAGUGCGG